GGUGAAAGGCUAUUGAUUGGGAUUAGGAAAGCCUUGUUCAAAAGUCUGAGGAAAGAAAGUCCCACUGCAUCCGGUACAAAUAGGUUGCUAUUUAGCCAAACACGAAAUUAGGAUCAUAAAUCAUCAUAUAUCUAAUAAGGACACCCGCAAUCCAUUAAACAUUGAUGUUUCUGCCCCCCAUUGAUUUCUCAAUUAGCAUUGAUAAGGGCCCCGUAAUUGAUUUCUCUUUGAUAAGGGUUUUUCGAUUUCACAAGUGAGAAGGAGUUUUCGAUUUCAAGUAUAGUUCAGUGUCCUUGUGUCUUUGGGUUAAGGGGUAGCCUUGCCUCGCCUGCAAAGGGUCGAGCCUUCACUGCUUGUAUUCUAUUCUUUUCCUCCCAGUGCUAUUACAUACGGAAUAAGAUGUGGGUCGGAAGCUUGAUUCGAGCUCUUCCCCAUUCCUUUCCCCCAAAAAGAGUUAACCAUGGCUCGGUGGUAAAGCAGAAGAAAUCGAUGGGUUGAUUGGUUGGAUGCAUUCUGCCUUUCUCGGUCACACCCAUGCAUAGAACUUCAAGCCUUAGCAGUUCCGGCGGAUCAUCAUUGUUCGCACUCCAGGGAUCCCUAUGAUAUUUAGACAUUAUUCUAUUCCAUAUGAAGAUUUCUCUAUUACCUAUUAUAUAUGUAGACAUUAUUCUAUAUUCUAUAUUUAGACAUUGUAGACAUUAUUCUAUAUUCUAUAUUUAGACAUUAUUCCAUUUAUACAGAAUCCCCAUACGAGCGUGGAAUCCCCAUACGAGCGUGGAACCGGAACUUCCCCAUCUCAUCUGCUGGCAUGAAAUAGAAAUCCGUGGCAAAGCCCGUAAAUCACAAGGAAAUCAAUCUUAGACGCUUGACGUCGGUAGAGAGAGAUGAUUGGCUUCUUACUUGUUUGACCUCUCUUGGGAAAUCAAUCUUCUUACUUGUUUGACCUCUCUUGCUUGGCUUCUGGUUGUUUGUCUCCGGGUCUGAACCCUUACCUUGUCUUGCCCACUCGCCCCCUUCCUUCCCGGCACCAAGCAUUCCUAGAUAUUGCUCCAGUGGUUGACUACUCGCAUUGGUGGUUUACUAUCCUGCUCGCCUAACGAAAUCAAAUCAUCAAUACUAGCUUGGCCCCAACUAUUUCCGUUUAUCCUACAGCAGCUGGCGAGCCACUCUUGAGACGGAGCUUACUCGGCUAGCAACGGGCACUGGCGACGGAGAACAUAACUUCUGACUUUGGUUGUGGACCGGAACGAAUUACUUGCUCUUUCUGCUUUCCUCACCGUUGAGAACCGCAUAACUCAUUCUCAGUCACAACUUCGAAUCCACUUCAAUCAACCCAUUUGAAUAAGAGCGGAUCAAACUAUGCACACCAAAUCCAAUCAAGGAGGGGCAGUGGGUGAUUCUUCCUACCAAGGUCAACCAACACUCAAUCUCAACUCGUAGACUAGUAAACGAAAGCGAAGGGUACGCAAGGCAUUCGAUCUUCAAGCGAAAGGGAAGGGAGGUUCCAUUUGAUUCCGUUGGUAAAGGGACAGGUCAACAAAGUCCGCAGCUCUCGAAGUGAGAAUACACCUCCGCCAUAGGAUGACCCGAAAACGGGACCAAAUAGCUAUAGUAUCGCUACGUGGGGGAUCAGUGCUUUUUUACACCAGCAGUGACUCUAUAUCCAAAAUCAAUCGAUUACCAUGCAUUGCAUUCUUUUUUACACCAGCAGUAACUCUAUAUCCAAAAUCAAUCGAUUAAUUCAUUCCUUCCCGGUCCCCGGUUGUUUUCUCUUUUGUUUCUAUGCAUAGGGGGUCUCCAGUCUAGGAAUCCGGUUUGUUGCAGUUGAGUGACUCGGGUGUUGAUCAGAAGAGUUGCUCAGAGAGGAUCAACGUAGUUAAGAUUGAUGAAUUCGUUUUGACCCGACCGACGAGGUUAACCGUGGGAUCCUUUGCUUUCUGCUGUUUCGUUUGGAACAUUGUGGAUUUGACCUGACCCCUUGAGUACUUUGUAUCAAGAUUCGCAGCUCUUGCUUUUCUCUCUAGUUCAACGUUCACUCCUCCAUGGAAACUUCGAUCUCGGUGGUUCAAUUGAGUUUCAAUCCAUUCGGUGAGUUAUACCCU
rnacentral:lncRNA from 1 species